rnacentral:rRNA from 1 species
AUGGCGGAUGCACCUCUGUACAAGCAGCGCCGCAGGUACACCAGGGAGCUACACGACGUCGACCUCCACGGCAACCACAAGCUCCGCGUCGUUUGCACAAGCAAGGGUGAAGACGUGGACAAGAUGUUGUCCACGCUCAGGAGGAAGCUCGGUGGAAUGCCCGUCAAACUAGUCGGUGUUGAUGUCGAGUACAUGCCAAUAGAACUAGACAAAUUCCUCAUGAAUGGUGAGUACACCUUCGUCGGAUUCGCCAUUGAAGGAGACAAAAGCAAGCUGAAGUUAUCUGGUUUGGAGAUCAACUCCGACAACUACAUUGAUAUUCAGGUGGAAUGGAGAGACCCAUACAAUAAAAAGAAGUUUGACUCUUUGGCUGAUGUUGCCGGCAGGAUGAUGGACAUUCACUACCAUGACAUGAAAAAAAAAUUAACCGCAAGGAGGACCAUACUCUGUGGGGAUUUUGCCCACUGCCAGAAAAGCUUAUCAAGUAUGCAGCAAUAG